rnacentral:rRNA from 1 species
CCCUACGGGGGGCAGCAGUGGGGGAUAUUGCACAAUGGAGGAAACUCUGAUGCAGCGACGCCGCGUGAGGGAAGACGGUCUUCGGAUUGUAAACCUCUGUCUUUGGGGAAGAAAAUGACGGUACCCAAAGAGGAAGCUCCGGCUAACUACGUGCCAGCAGCCGCGGUAAUACGUAGGGAGCAAGCGUUAUCCGGAUUUAUUGGGUGUAAAGGGUGCGUAGACGGGAAAUUAAGUUAGUUGUGAAAUCCCUCGGCUCAACUGAGGAACUGCAACUAAAACUGAUUUUCUUGAGUGCAGGAGAGGUA